rnacentral:rRNA from 1 species
GACGAACGCUGGCGGCGUGCUUAACACAUGCAAGUCGAACGCUGAAGCUUGGUGCUUGCACUGGGUGGAUGAGUGGCGAACGGGUGAGUAAUACGUGAGUAACCUGCCCUUGACUCUGGGAUAAGCCUGGGAAACUGGGUCUAAUACUGGAUACGACAUGUCACCGCAUGGUGGUGUGUGGAAAGGGUUUUACUGGUUUUGGAUGGGCUCACGGCCUAUCAGCUUGUUGGUGGGGUAAUGGCUCACCAAGGCGACGACGGGUAGCCGGCCUGAGAGGGUGACCGGCCACACUGGGACUGAGACACGGCCCAGACUCCUACGGGAGGCAGCAGUGGGGAAUAUUGCACAAUGGGCGGAAGCCUGAUGCAGCGACGCCGCGUGAGGGAUGACGGCCUUCGGGUUGUAAACCUCUUUCAGCACGGAAGAAGCGAAAGUGACGGUUCGUGCAGAAGAAGCGCCGGCUAACUACGUG